rnacentral:ncRNA from 1 species
CGGGACCUUCGGGGCCCUUCACGUGUCGGGCAUGACUGCCCGCAAAGCAAACGGAAGACAGAA